GUUAGCUCAGUAGGUAGAGCAACUGACUCUUAAUCAGUGGGUCGCGGGUUCGAAACCCUCAC
rnacentral:tRNA from 1 species